rnacentral:rRNA from 1 species
AUUGAACGCUAGCGGCAUGCCUUACACAUGCAAGUCGAACGGAGUGGCGAACGGGUGAGUAAUGUAUCGGAACGUGCCCAGUAGCGGGGGAUAACUACGCGAAAGCGUAGCUAAUACCGCAUACUAUUGGAGCGGCCGAUAUCGGAUUAGCUAGUUGGUGGGGUAACGGCUCACCAAGGCGACGAUCCGUAGCUGGUUUGAGAGGACGAACAGCCACACUGGAACUGAGACACGGCCCAGACUCCUACGGGAGGCAGCAGUGGGGAAUGUUGGACAAUGGGGGAAACCCUGAUCCAGCCAUCCCGCGUGUGCGAUGAAGGCCUUCGGGUUGUAAAGCACUUUUUGCGGGGAGGCGUUACCUGCAGAAUAAGCACCGGCUAACUACGUGCCAGCAGCCGCGGUAAUAC